CAACCAGGGAGCGUAACUUCACCUCAGAAGGGACACACCACCCUCGUCUGUAGUGGAUUGUCACAGUCACCAGCCUUGGUGCAAGAACAGAGAUCCAGACUGUAAAACCAUCCAUCUCCACGACAUCUCUGAUUCCCAAAUUCUUCUUCUCAUAGAAGCUUAUCGGGUCACAUCACAUGCUAACACAUCAACGGAUCCAGGAUUUAUUUUCCAAUCCAUUGAAACUCAACAGAAUCACGUUAAAGAGGAGAUCCAAAUCUGC
rnacentral:lncRNA from 1 species